rnacentral:rRNA from 1 species
GACGAACGCUGGCGGCGUGCUUAACACAUGCAAGUCGAACGGAAAGGCCCUGCUUGCAGGGUACUCGAGUGGCGAACGGGUGAGUAACACGUGGGUGAUCUGCCCUGCACUUCGGGAUAAGCCUGGGAAACUGGGUCUAAUACCGGAUAGGAGCCAUUUUUAGUGUGAUGGUUGGAAAGUUUUUUCGGUGUAGGAUGAGCUCGCGGCCUAUCAGCUUGUUGGUGGGGUAAUGGCCUACCAAGGCGGCGACGGGUAGCCGGCCUGAGAGGGUGGACGGCCACAUUGGGACUGAGAUACGGCCCAGACGCCUACGGGAGGAAGCAGUGGGGAAUAUUGAACAAUGGGCGCAAGCCUGAUGCAGCGACGCCGCGUGGGGGAUGACGGCCUUCGGGUUGUAAACUCCUUUCGCUAGGGACGAAGCUUUUUGUGACGGUACCUAGAUAAGAAGCACCGGCUAACUACGUG